GAUGAACGCUGGCGGCGUGCCUAAUACAUGCAAGUCGAGCGAACAGACGAGGAGCUUGCUCCUCUGACGUUAGCGGCGGACGGGUGAGUAACACGUGGAUAACCUACCUAUAAGACUGGGAUAACUUCGGGAAACCGGAGCUAAUACCGGAUAAUAUAUUGAACCGCAUGGUUCAAUAGUGAAAGACGGUUUUGCUGUCACUUAUAGAUGGAUCCGCGCCGCAUUAGCUAGUUGGUAAGGUAACGGCUUACCAAGGCAACGAUGCGUAGCCGACCUGAGAGGGUGAUCGGCCACACUGGAACUGAGACACGGUCCAGACUCCUACGGGAGGCAGCAGUAGGGAAUCUUCCGCAAUGGGCGAAAGCCUGACGGAGCAACGCCGCGUGAGUGAUGAAGGUCUGCGGAUCGUAAAACUCUGUUAUUAGGGAAGAACAAAUGUGUAAGUAACUAUGCACGUCUGGACGGUACCUAAUCAGAAAGCCACGGCUAACUACGU
rnacentral:rRNA from 1 species